rnacentral:rRNA from 1 species
UGUUCCUACGGGGCGCAGCAGUCGGGAAUAUUGCGCAAUGGAGGAAACUCUGACGCAGUGACGCCGCGUAUAGGAAGAAGGUUUUCGGAUUGUAAACUAUUGUCGUUAGGGAAGAUAAAAGACUGUACCUAAGGAGGAAGCCCCGGCUAACUAUGUGCCAGCAGCCGCGGUAAUACAUAGGGGGCAAGCGUUAUCCGGAAUUAUUGGGUGUAAAGGGUGCGUAGACGGAGAAACAAGUUGGUUGUGAAAUCCCUCGGCUCAACUGAGUAACUGCAACCAAAACUAUUUCCCUUGAGUGUCGGAGG